UACGGAGGGUGCAAGCGUUAUCCGGAUUCACUGGGUUUAAAGGGUGCGUAGGUGGGCAAGUAAGUCAGUGGUGAAAUCUCCGGGCUUAACUCGGAAACUGCCAUUGAUACUAUCUGUCUUGAAUACCGUGGAGGUUAGCGGAAUAUGUCAUGUAGCGGUGAAAUGCUUAGAUAUGACAUAGAACACCAAUUGCGAAGGCAGCUGGCUACACGAAUAUUGACACUGAUGCACGAAAGCGUGGGGAUCAAACAGG
rnacentral:rRNA from 1 species